GCACUAAGAGCCGAUGAAAGACGUGAUAAGCUGCGAAAAGCUUCGGGGAGGAGCACAUAUCCAAUGAUCCGGAGAUAUCUGAAUGGGGAAACCCGGCAGAGGAAACCUCUGUCAGCGUGCAGUGAAUACAUAGCUGUACGUGGGGAACCCGGGGAACUGAAACAUCUAAGUACCCGGAGGAAGAGAAAGAAAAUUUAUCGAUUUCCAAAGUAGCGGCGAGCGAAAUGGAAAGAGCCCAAACCGUGAUGCGUGCAUCGCGGGGUUCGGACUGCGUUGUGGCAGACGUAAGAUAGGAGAACGGACUGGGAAGUCCGGCCGGAGAGAGUGAAAGCCUCGUAUCCGAAAUCCCAAGUCGCCUAGCAGGAUCCAGAGUAGGACGAGACACGAGAAACCUUGUCUGAACGAGCGGGGACCACCCCGUAAGGCUAAAUACUUCUUAGUGACCGAUAGCGCAUAGUACUGUGAAGGAAAGGUGAAAAGUACCCCGGGAGGGGAGUGAAAGAGAACCUGAAACCCUGUGUCUACAAGCUGUGGGACCUCUUUAUAUGAGGGACUGCGUACUUUUUGUAGAACGGUCCGGCGAGUUGUGCGUACUGGCGAGGUUAAGGACUUAAGGUCCGGAGCCGAAGUGAAAGCAAGCGUUAAGAGCGCGGUAAGUCAGUGAGUGCAGACCCGAAACCGGGUGACCUAUCCAUGUCCAGGUUGAAGCUUCCGUAAGAGGAAGUGGAGGACCGAACCCACAUCCGUUGAAAAGGGUGGGGAUGAGGUGUGGAUAGCGGAGAAAUUCCAAUCGAACCCGGAGAUAGCUGGUUCUCCUCGAAAUAGCUUUAGGGCUAGCCUCGCAUUAGUUUACCGGAGGUAGAGCACUGAAUGGUCUAGGGGGCCUCACCGCCUACCGAAACCUAUCAAACUGCGAAUGCCGGAUAAAUGAUGUGCGGGAGUCAGGCCGCGAGAGAUAAGUUCCGCGGUCAAAAGGGGAACACCCCAGAUCGUCUGCUAAGGUCCCCAAGUACGCGUUAAGUGGGAAAGGAUGUUGGAUUGCACAGACAACCAGGAUGUUGGCUUAGAAGCAGCCACACAUUCAAAGAGUGCGUAAUAGCUCACUGGUCGAGUGAUCCAGCGCCGAAAAUGUAACGGGGCUAAAACGCGACACCGAAGCAGCGGGAUGCGUAAGCAUCGGUAGAGGAGCAUUGUGUGAGGAUAGAAGCCAGAGCGGGAGCACUGGUGGACUUCACAGAAGAGAGAAUGCCGGUAUGAGUAGCGAGACCCAUGCGAGAAACAUGGGCGUCGAAGGCCCAAGGUUUCCUGGGGAAGGUUCAUCCACCCAGGGUAAGUCGGGACCUAAGCCGAGGACUGAGGUCGUAGGCGAUGGACAGCAGGUAGAGAUUCCUGCACCACUUACACUUGUUUGACGAAGCAGUGACACAGAAGGAUAGGACGAGCGCGGUGAUGGUCAACCGCGUAGGCGGCACGAGGCUGGGAAGCAGUGAAGUACACUUCCCGCAAAGGCUGAGUGUUGACAGGACCGAAAAGAAGUAGGGAAGCGUCCGAGUUCACGCUGGCGAGAAAAGCUGCUAAGGAGAGUGUGAGUGCCCGUACCGGAAACCGACGCAGGUGGGCGAGGAGAGAAUCCUGAGACGGACGGGAGAACUCUUGUUAAGGAACUCGGCAAAAUGACCCCGUAACUUCGGGAGAAGGGGUGCCUCGAAAGAGGCCGCAGAGAAUAGUCACAAGCGACUGUUUAGCAAAAACACAGGUAUCUGCGAAAGCGAGAGCUGACGUAUAGGUGCUGACGCCUGCCCGGUGCUGGAAGGUUAAGGGGAAGUGUUAGGGGAAACCCGAAGCAGAGAACCGAAGCCCCAGUAAACGGCGGCCGUAACUAUAACGGUCCUAAGGUAGCGAAAUUCCUUGUCGGGUAAGUUCCGACCCGCACGAAUGGCGUAACGACUUGUGAGCUGUCUCAACAGGAGGCCCGGUGAAAUUGAAGUAUGUGUGAAGAUGCACAUUACCCGCGACUGGACGGAAAGACCCCGUAGAGCUUUACUGUAACCUGACAUUGGAUCUUGAUAACGGAUGCACAGGAUAGGUGGGACGCUGGGAGGUAUGGACUUUGGUCUGUACGGAGCGGACGUUGGGAUACCACUCUUCUGUUAUUGAGAUUCUAACCUCAAGCCGUAAGCCGGAUGAGAGACAGUGUCAGGCGGACAGUUUGACUGGGGCGGUCGCCUCCGAAAGAGUAACGGAGGCGCCCAAAGGUACCCUCAGAAUGGAUGGAAACCAUUCGAAGAGAGCAAAGUCAGAAGGGUGCUUGACUGCGAGACCAACAAGUCGAGCAGGUACGAAAGUAGGGCUUAGUGAUCCGGCGGUAAGAGAGUGGAAUUGCCGUCGCUCAACGGAUAAAAGCUACCUCGGGGAUAACAGGCUGAUCUCCCCCAAGAGUUCACAUCGACGGGGAGGUUUGGCACCUCGAUGUCGGCUCAUCGCAUCCUGGGGCUG
rnacentral:rRNA from 1 species